rnacentral:rRNA from 1 species
GACGUAGGGCGCGAGCGUUGUCCGGAUUUAUUGGGCGUAAAGAGCUCGUAGGCGGCUCAUCGCGUCUGCCGUGAAAACCCGCAGCUCAACUGCGGGCUUGCGGUUGAUACGGGUGGGCUGGAGUUCGGCAGGGGAGACUGGAAUUCCUGGUGUAGCGGUGAAAUGCGCAGAUAUCAGGAGGAACACCGGUGGCGAAGGCGGGUCUCUGGGCCGAUACUGACGCUGAGGAGCGAAAGCGUGGGGAGCGAACAGG